rnacentral:rRNA from 1 species
AUUGAACGCUGGCGGAAUGCUUUACACAUGCAAGUCGAACGGCAGCACGGGUGCUUGCACCUGGUGGCGAGUGGCGAACGGGUGAGUAAUACAUCGGAACGUACCCAGUUAUGGGGGAUAACUAACCGAAAGGUUAGCUAAUACCGCAUACGCCCUGAGGGGGAAAGCGGGGGACCGUAAGGCCUCGCGUAAUUGGAGCGGCCGAUGUCUGAUUAGCUAGUUGGUGAGGUAAAGGCUCACCAAGGCGACGAUCAGGAGCAGGUCUGAGAGGAUGAUCUGCCAAGAUGGAACUGAGACACGGUCCAGACUCCUACGGGAGGCAGCAGGGGGGAAUUUUGGACAAUGGGCGAAAGCCUGAUCCAGCCAUUCCGCGUGAGUGAAGAAGGCAUUCGGGUUGUAAAGCUCUUUCGGCAGGGAAGAAACGCUCUGGGAUAAUACUCCGGGGUAAUGACGGUACCUGAAGAAGAAGCACCGGCUAACUACGUGCCAGCAGCCGCCGUAA